GCCUUUUGUUACCCAAAUAGCCUUAAAGCACCAGAUAUGCUCUUACCUUGGAAGCUAAGCAGGGUCAGCCCUGGUAAAUAUCUGAGUGGAAGACCACCAAUGAAUUCCAGGCACCGAAGAUC
rnacentral:rRNA from 11 species